rnacentral:rRNA from 1 species
CAGCAGCCGCGGUAAUACCGAGGUCUCAAGCGUUGUUCGGAUUCAUUGGGCGUAAAGGUGCGUAGGCGGCGAGGUAAGUCAGAUGUGAAAUCCCGGAGCUUAACUCCGGAACUGCAUUUGAUACUGCCUUGCUUGAGGACUGGAGAGGAGAUCGGAAUUCACGGUGUAGCAGUGAAAUGCGUAGAUAUCGAGAGGAAGGCCAGUGGCGAAGGCGGAUCUCUGGACAGCUCCUGACGCUGAGGCACGAAGGCCAGGGGAGCAAACGGGAUUAGAUACCCCGGUAGUCCCUGUCUCUUAUACC